GUAAAAGUAAAAAUAUCUAUCUAUCUGCUCUGCUUUGCUUUUCUGUCAUCCUCUCAUUUGCAGUCGCUUGUCUCCUCUCCACAACUCUCUUAGAAAAAGCAGGCUUAUGUCUUUUGUAGUAUUGUGGAAGGAAUGCUGUUUUUCCACCUAGGCACAUAACAUUUCCUCAUCAAAUUUUGGUGGAAAUGAAAUGAAUUGUAAAUUUGUAACUCACUCAGAGAAUGAUUACUUCUACCUUGUUAAAAAUUAUAUGAUAGCAUUGAAUGAGGAUGACACGUGGCUAAAAAUAUGCAUACUCUGGCCUGUGUCCUUAAAAGUUGGUCUUCUUUUCGUUUAUAUAUUUAUUUCAGCAAUAGUGCUGGAUACUGAAAGGUCAAAUAAUAGUGUGAUCGGACAGAUAACUUCCAUAAUUUACUUCUGUAUCUACUUUUGAAACGACUAUUUUAAAAAUUAUAUUUUUUAAAUACGGACACAUUAAGAAGUCAUAUAUUUAAUAAAAUUAGUGUUUAAUUUAUUAAAAAAUUAUAUAAUUAAUAAUAUAUUUACAUUGACUCUAUUAAACCACAUAAUUUAACAACGUAUAAAUUGAUGACAACGGUUAUAUAUAUAUAUUUCCAAUGAAAUAUCAUAAAGUCCUCUAGUACACAUACUUCAAUACAUUAUAAGAUAAAAUAUAUAUCAUUGAAGUGUUUGCUUUACUUAUCUUUUAGAUUAUCCUAAAUUUUAGUAAUUUAAGAAAUCUUUUAUUAGAUAAUGAUUAUACAUGUAAUUCUUCUCUAGUAAAGUGAGGAUGCACACUAAAAUACAAUAAAACAUAUAUUUUAAUACAUAAAAUAUUGUAUUUUUUAUAUCUGUUUAUAGCAUUCUCAUUUUAUUAAAAUGAAUAUAUCCUCACUAGAGAAUUAUAUAUAUAUAUAUAUAUAUAUAUAUAUAUAUAUGCGGAUGCCCUGAUUUUUUUUUAAUCCGGACAAGCUGUUAAACCAUGCAGCUUAAUAGAGUUAAUUUUCAAUACAUUAUAAAAUUGUGCAGUGUAAUAGCAUUAAAAACUAACUCUAUUAAAUUGCAUGGUUUAACAGUAUGUUCGCAUAAAAAAAAAUGAGGGUGCCCGUACUAAAGAAGGAUUAUACUAUAAUGCAGGAAUCCCAUAUUGGCCGUUGGAUUUGUCCAGCAAUUACAAUUUUCUUUUCUUUUCUUUUGUAGUGGUCUUUGAAUUUCAAUCCAAUGACCAAUUUGGAAUUUGGAUACAGUUUUUGUGGUUAUAUUCGAGUUUUAAAUCAAUUUUAUUUAUAGAUAGAGGUGGAGAAAGUCUAAAUUAAUUUUUUAAUCCUUUAGCUCUUCCAAGAUUUGAACUUGAAUGACAAGUUAAGCAAACCUACUUAAAACCACUUAGUCAAAUAAGUUUCUUUAGCUUUUUUACAUAUCAGUAGACUUAUGUUCUCUAAAAGGUGUCUGUAGAGCAUUUUGUUUUCUUUCUAAGUUUCAUUAUCAAUUGUAUGCUGUAAUAAGUUGACUAGUUAUUGUUUUCUUGUUUGUUUUAAGGAAAUUUGCAAAGAUAAUGAGAAUGACUCAUUAGUUGUUUCUAGAGUAAUUUUUCAUCUUAAGCAUGAAUUUCUUAUUUUUUUUCCUCAGUACUCAGGAAUCUACCGAUAUUUAUAAUCUAAAAUAUGUAUGGACUAAUCUAAAUUAAGUUUUAUUAUGUGACAGCCUAGAUUUUCGUUCUCAUACUACGAAAUAUCUAUCCCAACAAUAUUUAUGAAAUAUUUCUGUUUUGGGAGAGAUUAUCUACCUCUAUCCAAUCGGAAGGAGAGUACGAAGAAUUACGUGCUUCAAUACUUGCACCGUGGUGAAAUCAUCACCCUUGCUUUCAAACGUUAGGUAAGGCAAAUUUGUCCUUUAUAUUUUUUGCGGCCAUAUUAUUGUAUACUUUUGACUCUCGUUGUUGCUGUUUAAUUACUUGAUCGAGCAUGCGCAGGCGGCAGGUGAAUAAACAUUCUGGACUUGCUAUGACACAAAAAAAAAACUAAUCGCUACUUAAAAUGUAAAUUUUGCAGUUAAAAUUGACCGUUCUCUUGAUAUGGGGUCCUUGUUGAUAGGAGGGAUGAGAACAAAAUGAGCUUAAAAGAAGAGUUUAAAGAAAUGCAGGGGCCAUUUUAUUAGGGCUCUCAUUGCAGACAUGUAAGCAUGAAUAUUUAUUUUUAUGGCCACUUUAUUAUAAUUUCUCUCCCAUGACUUAUUAUAUGGUAUUUGCAGACAGUGUUAGGCCCAUUGCAUUAUUCUUGCUGCUUGUCUUUUUGGAAGAUCACAUUCACAUCUUCUCUAGCUAGGGCUCCACGUGAGGCAUUAAAGAUAUGGUUUUUGUAAUGGGACAACUUUGUCAAAGCUGGAGAUCCGAUUCGAUGUCUAAUUGUAUUCACCUUUGUAAUAACUCCAUGCGUUUGAUAUGUGCCACGCUUUAAUUAGAAACUACAAUGAGAUGAAAGAGAACUUCAAUGCAAUCAAUUCUUAAAUUUCAGUCUUUUUCUAU
rnacentral:lncRNA from 1 species